CCUGGGCCCUGUUUAACAAAGCUCUUUUAAGCCUGAGAUCUCGUCAUUUUUCUCGUAGCAUUUGUACCUCCUGUACUGUAACAUAGGAAGUACGAUUGCUAGGAGGAAAGUUACAAGAUUUUAGGCUUAUGAGAGCUUUGUGAAACGAGGCCCAGGUGUUUAAAAUCCAUUU